AAAACAGUACAUUUUUCUUCGAUAAAGUAGGAGUAACAAUUAUCAUGUAUAAUCGUUCCAUUAGCAAUUAUAAUAUAUAAUUAAUUUCUGUUUUUUUAUAAUACUAAAUGUAUUAAAAUGGCAUGCUGUAUUAUAACGUUAUUGACAUACUGACAAUAUUAACAUUUUAUUUAUCAUCGUCGUUUCCUUUCGACUCCGAAAACAAAUGUCAGAUUAAAGGCUUGUUGGUUCUGUUUACUGCUUUGACCUUGAUUUUAUCACAGCUACCAUUGAAAUUUUCAGCGAUCUCUCGUGUUGCAAAUAAUAAAUAUCCUUCUCUUUAAUCUUGUGAUCAUAUAGAGCCAGAUAAUAUUUAAAAAAAAAUACAUUUCAUAGAAACAUAAAAUUGGAUCAAUUUAAAAAUAAUAUGAAAGAUAUCACACGCGCAAGAUCAAUUGCGUGCAAAAUAUUCGUUUGCGAGUGACAUUCAUUCGAUAUCGCGACUACAGAGUAGCCACUAAUUUUAAUCAGCGCUACAUUCAUCCGACAAUCUUAAUCGCGUCUUUGAAACUGACGUCAAAUGUACCACGCCAUACGUUUUAAUCCGUCUUGUCAUACCUCGUGAAUGCAUAACGAUGGAAAAGUCACGGUCGUUCGAACUAUUUUAUGGAGAUAACGCGUGCUGUGUAAUACAAUAUUGAUGAUCUCUGCCCUUCGCCACGUGACAAAAAUCUCUAAUAAAAGUUCAAUACGCGAUACAUAAAUAGAACGCAAAUAUGUAAAACGGGAAUAUAUGUUAGCGAUACGAGAGCAUCACAAAAAGAAAUAGACACACCGGGAUCUAGAUUUUUCUAUUUUCACGAUACACUGCCUUUGAAAAUGUAUCGAUUUCGCGGUAUCUUGCGGACGUGCGUGUAUUUUCAGCGAAACGCGGGAUGCGCGUCAGCCGCGCACACACGUGGGCGUGCGUAAUCUUAAAGGCGACACCGCCGCCUUUGCGUUUUGGGGGGUACAAAUUCCACCAGACUCUCUCCGCGAGGGACCUUAACGUUCGCCCGACACGGCAGUGACCGAAACCGACGGUUGCGGCUUUCUCCAUCAAAUGCACGACACGCCUGCGACCCUGACCCAGUACGAGACGAAGGACGCCCUGUGGACGUGUGAAUCCCAUCUAAAUAUGUUUCUUCAAUGCCGGGAGUUACACGGAUGCACAUUUAAUCCCUCCGAUAAAAUCUCGAUUCACGUCCGUUUUCGUGUUCGCGUUAAAAUUAAAUGAACCUUCUGGUGUAGAUCCAAAUUGGUGCACACUCUUCGUGGAAACGAGGAAGACGGAAAUCGUAAAUGCAGGAUGUGACGCAUCCUGCAUUUGGCCGAUCGAGAUUGCGAGGAGCAUUUGAUACAAUCGCGAUAAACAUCCUCAAAAGACGUCUUCUCGAAGCUUCAUACCACCUUGCGGGAUCAUGGCCUCUAUAAUAUUAGAUCUCUUUUGGUGUAAAUAUUCAAAUCGCAUAUUUCCAGUUGGAGUAUAUUAAUAAAUCAUCUUCUCAUCGCUAUAUAUUAA